GCGCCCAUAGUUUAAUGGAUAGAAUAGGAGUUUGCGGAACUUCUGAUCCAAGUUCGAUUCUUGGUGGGCGCA
rnacentral:tRNA from 1 species